rnacentral:rRNA from 1 species
UACGAAGGGGGCUAGCGUUGCUCGGAAUCACUGGGCGUAAAGGGUGCGUAGGCGGGUUUUUAAGUCAGGGGUGAAAUCCUGGAGCUCAACUCCAGAACUGCCUUUGAUACUGAAGAUCUUGAGUCCGGGAGAGGUGAGUGGAACUGCGAGUGUAGAGGUGAAAUUCGUAGAUAUUCGCAAGAACACCAGUGGCGAAGGCGUCUCACUGGCCCGGUACUGACGCUGAGGCACGAAAGCGUGGGGAGCAAACAGG